rnacentral:misc_RNA from 1 species
UUUCGCUAUUAAUUUCUCGCUCAGACACAUGUAAACAGAAUAUAAAAGCCUCCGGCGGGCACUCGCCAACUGAGCCGGCGGCGAAGCGCGGCCCGCCAAAGCAACUAAGUUAAUUCGCACAGGGUGGAGAUGCUCCCGAAGGAGUACUCUGUAAUGAUCCUUCCGCAGGUUCACCUACGAAAA